AUUGAACGCUGGCGGAAUGCUUUACACAUGCAAGUCGAGCGGCAGCACGGGGGCAACCCUGGUGGCGAGCGGCGAACGGGUGAGUAAUACAUCGGAACAUGCCCAGUCGUGGGGGAUAACACUUCGAAAGAAGUGCUAAUACCGCAUACGUUCUGAGAGAGAAAGCGGGGGAUCUUCGGACCUCGCGCGAUUGGAGUGGCCGAUGUCAGAUUAGCUAGUUGGUGGGGUAAAGGCCUACCAAGGCAACGAUCUGUAGCUGGUCUGAGAGGAUGAUCAGCCACACUGGGACUGAGACACGGCCCAGACUCCUACGGGAGGCAGCAGUGGGGAAUUUUGGACAAUGGGGGCAACCCUGAUCCAGCCAUUCCGCGUGAGUGAAGAAGGCCUUCGGGUUGUAAAGCUCUUUCGGCAGGAACGAAACGGCGAGCUCUAACAUAGCUUGCUAAUGACGGUACCUGAAGAAGAAGCACCGGCUAACUACGUGCCAGCCGCCGCCGUAAGAC
rnacentral:rRNA from 1 species